GAGUCGGUAGUGCAACGGUUAGCAUACGCUCCCGUUAAGAGUGUGAUCUGGGUUCGAAUCUCGCCUGACGCA